rnacentral:lncRNA from 10 species
AUUAACAUUCUGAAAGUUGGAACUUUAUCUUCAUAAAGGUGAUAAUGUUUUUAGAUUAGUUUAAUUUUUAGUAAAAUUGAGUGGCAGUGAUACAAUUUCAAAACAGGGGGAUUACUUUGGGAGAAAAUCCAAAAAUUCCAAUGAUCUGGCAAUUCUAUUUCAGGUGUUUUUCUCAAAACAAAUUGAAACAUAGGUCUACAAGACAGACUGGUACACAAUAUGUUCUGUGGUCAGUUAGAGCAAUGCCUCCCUUGCAUAAGCCAUCAACCAUCAACCCCCGUGGAUCUCUACUAAUGUACUUGUUUAUCAAAACUCCAACCUUGAAGACAUUCACCUACUGCCUACUCUUCACAUGUACCUAUGCAGUUACACAUGGUUGGAGAAAACCAAAAAAGUGCUGAAAUUUCCCACUUAAAUGAAGUCUGUAAACCUCGAUUAUGCCUUUAAUAAUGCCUAGCAAUCAUACUAUAAUUUUCCAGUCCCUUGAGACUUCUGUUCCUAACUCUCAUCAGGUCUCCAAUACCUCCUCUGCCAUCUUUUAUCACAGCUGAUAACUGUGCUUCCUAUUUCACCGAGGACACAGAAACAAUUGAAGAAAAUUUCCACAAGUUCUCACCCUAUAUCAACCUCUAUCGUCUAUUUCACCUUUUAUUACUAUAGAUGAACUAAGCGUUUGUGCUUCUGUGUAAGGAUUGUUCCUCUCAAUAUGUGCACACGUAAAUGACUCUUGAUUUUGAUGUUUCUUCAAAUUUGUUGUGUAUUAAGAAUCAUCUCAAAGGGUUCUUUUAACAAAUGAAUUUUGAGAUACCACUACCCAGAAUUUUCCUUCAUCAAGAAGCCCUUAGAUGAUUCCAAAAAAAGAACAUUUGAAAUAAAACCAAUCUGGUGACAGAGAAAGAUAAAUAUAUUAACCACUUCAAUUGAUAGAAAUAAGAAUUUUGUUCUUCAGACUGGAAAGAAGGAAGGAAGCAUACUGCCAAGAAAACCUUGACACUUGCCCUGAAUUUGGAGGAACAAACAGGAGUCCCCAGUGAAGAGGAUAGCUAUGGGAAAGCAUUUGCAACAGGAGAAACAAUGCUUUGGAGAUCCUGGAGGCAGUAAACCACAUAGUUCACUUCAUCCUUUGACAUCUUUCCUAGAGAGUAGAAGGCAGGGAAGCUGGCUGGAGAAGUGAAGUUCUGAGGAGCCUGGGCUGCUGAGCCAAAUACACUGAAGGUUGCUCUGAUUGAUGCAGUACGUGAUAUGAUCUUUAGGAGAACAGUGUGGUAGGUGGACUGCAGAGACACUAAAUGGAAACAGAAUGAGGCCCUGGCUAUACCUGCAGUGAUUGUGUGGCCUGAGAAGCUGCAAAAAAACUAGGGGAGUGUCUCUGAGGAAUUUGCAGGGACAUAAGAAUUUCAAGAGGAAGGGGGUAAUUGGUUCUGUCAAUGCUAAAAAUAAGAUGUGAAAAAGUGUCAGAUAGUCUCCUAAAAACCUGUGGCUCAUGCAGUUACUUUCUGUAACUUCCUUUUUCCUUCCCCAACCUUAAAAUAUAAGGGUGAAGUCAAGUCAUUCCUUUAUGACAUAGGGCAGUGGUCUCAUAUUACUAUCACACGAGAGUUUUAAAACAUCAUUUGCUGAAGCCACACCUUGAGCUAUUAUUAUGUCUCAAUCUCUGAAGGUAUGGCCUAAGCAUCAGUAUUUUUUUGAAGCUCUUCACAAGAUUUCAAUGUACAGGAAGAUCAAGAAACACUGACUUAGAGAGUGAGGAACAUUUCUUUUCAUGUACAGAGUUCCAACACCAUUUAAGUGUUUCAAUUUCCCAGUAGUAAUAUUUAUCACCCACCAAUAAUAUUCAUCAGACUUUACUUUAGGAAAUAUAUAUCUUAGAAAAUCCUACAGAUAGAUAGAUAGAUAGAUAGAUAGAUAGAUAGAUAGACAGAUAGAUACAGAUAUACACAUACAUAUAUGUAUAUAUGUAUAUAUCAUAGAACUAAAUGAAUAUAUAAAUACGUGUGUGCACACAUUUAGUUUUCACAAUUUCAUUAGGUAAACAAUAUAUGUAGUAUAUAUAAAAAUAUACAUAUAUUUUUUGACAUAUAU